AUGAACGCUGGCGGCGUGGAUUAGGCAUGCAAGUCGAACGUGGUGAUGGCUUCGGUUGUCACCAAGUGGCGAACUGGUCAGUACAAGUUGGGUAACUUGCCCGGAAGUGGGGGAUAACGGAGGGAAACCUUCGCUAAUACCGCAUACGGUUUCGAGGCCUUUGGGCUUUGCAACCAAAGCAGCAGUGCGCUUCCGGAUGGGCCCGACUCCCAUUAGCUAGUUGGUUGGGGUAAUGGCUCACCAAGGCAACGAUGGGUAGGUGGCCUGAGAGGGUGGUCACCGACACGAGGACUGAGAUACGGCCUCGACUCCUACGGGGGGCAGCAGUCUAGAAGCUUCGGCAAUGGGGGAAACCCUGACCGAGCGACGCCGCGUGGAGGAUGAAGGCCUUCGGGUUGUAAACUCCUUUCGGCAGGGAGGAAUGCCAGGGUGGCGAACUCUGGAUUGACCUACCUGCGGAAGAAGCCCCGGCUAACUCUGU
rnacentral:rRNA from 1 species